rnacentral:tRNA from 1 species
GCGGGUGCAGGCCGGCCUCGCCGUGGCCGCUCCCGCCGGCCCGGCGCCGACGCCGGUCGCGCCGGCCGCCCGCUC